rnacentral:rRNA from 1 species
AGUGAACGCUGGCGGUAGGCCUAACACAUGCAAGUCGAACGGCAGCACAGUAAGAGCUUGCUCUUACGGGUGGCGAGUGGCGGACGGGUGAGGAAUACAUCGGAAUCUACUUUUUCGUGGGGGCUAACGUAGGGAAACUUACGCUAAUACCGCAUACGACCUCCGGGUGAAAGCAUGGGAUCUUCGGACCUUGCGCGAUUGAAUGCGCCGAUGUCGGAUUAGCUAGUUGGCGGGGUAAAGGCCCACCAAGGCGACGAUCCGUAGCUGGUCUGAGAGGAUGAUCAGCCACACUGGAACAGAGACACGGUCCAGACUCCUACGGGAGGAAGCAGUGGGGAAUAUUGGACAAUGGGCGCAAGCCUGAUCCAGCCAUACCGCGUGGGUGAAGAAGGCCUUCGGGUUGUAAAGCCCUUUUGUUGGGAAAGAAAAGCAGCAGGUUAAUACCCCGCUGUUCUGACGGUACCAAAAGAAUAAGCACCGGCUAACUUCGUG